GGAUAACCGUGGUAAUUCUAUGGCUAAUACAUGCGCAAAUAUCCUUUUUCGCAAGAAAGAGGAUAGUGUUUAUUAGAUACAGAACCAAUACACCAUCUGUUUAUCAGGUGGUGUAAAAAAGGUGAUUCAUAGUAACCGAACGGAUCGCAUUAUGGUCAUUUUAUAUGGCUGGCGAUAGAUCAUUCAAGUUUCUGACCUAUCAGCUUUCGACGGUAGUGUAUUGGACUACCGUGGCAGUGACGGGUAACGGGGAAUUAGGGUUCGAUUCCGGAGAGGGAGCCUGAGAAACGGCUACCACAUCUAAGGAAGGCAGCAGGCGCGCAAAUUACCCAAUCCUGACUCAGGGAGGUAGUGACAAGAAAUAACAACACUGGAAAUUUUAUUUCUAGUGAUUGGAAUGAUGGGAAUUUAAACCCCUUUCAGAGUAACAAUUGGAGGGCAAGUCUGGUGCCAGCAGCCGCGGUAAUUCCAGCUCCAAUAGCGUAUAUUAAAGUUGUUGCAGUUAAAAAGCUCGUAGUUGGAUGUCUGCUGGAAGCAAUCAGUCCGCCCUAUUUGUAGGGUGUGCACUUGAUGAAUUCUGGCAUCUAUGUCCCAAUAAUGUGGUGGUGUAUACCCUGUGUAUUACCCAUCUAUAUUGGGAUAAUACCGUUACUUUGAGAAAAUUAGAGUGUUUGAAGCAGGCUAAUUGCCUUGAAUACUGCAGCAUGGAAUAACAAUAUAGGAUUUCGGUUCUAUUUUGUUGGUUUCUAGGACUGAAAUAAUGAUUAAUAGGCACAGUUGGGGGCAUUCGUAUUUAACUGUCAGAGGUGAAAUUCUUAGAUUUGUUAAAGACGAACUACUGCGAAAGCAUUUGCC
rnacentral:rRNA from 1 species